CCUACGGGGGGCAGCAGUGGGGAAUAUUGGACAAUGGGGGGAACCCUGAUCCAGCCAUGCCGCGUGUGUGAAGAAGGCCCUCGGGUUGUAAAGCACUUUCAGUGAGGAAGAACGCCUGGUGGUUAAUACCCAUCAGGAAAGACAUCACUCACAGAAGAAGCACCGGCUAACUCCGUGCCAGCAGCCGCGGUAAUACGGAGGGUGCGAGCGUUAAUCGGAAUUACUGGGCGUAAAGCGCGCGUAGGUGGCUUGAUAAGCCGGUUGUGAAAGCCCCGGGCUCAACCUGGGAACGGCAUCCGGAACUGGCAAGCUAGAGUGCAGGAGAGGAAGGUAGAAUUCCCGGUGUAGCGGUGAAAUGCGUAGAGAUAGGGAGGAAUAGCAGUGGCGAAGGCGGCCUUCUGGACUGACACUGACACUGAGGUGCGAAAGCGUGGGUAGCAAACAGGAUUAGAUACCCUAGUAGUC
rnacentral:rRNA from 1 species